UACGAAGGGAGCUAGCGUUGUUCGGAAUCACUGGGCGUAAAGCGUACGUAGGCGGAUGUGGCAGUCAGGGGUGAAAUCCCGGAGCUCAACUUCGGAACUGCCUCUGAUACAGCACGUCUUGAGUCCGAGAGAGGUGGGUGGAAUUCCUAGUGUAGAGGUGAAAUUCGUAGAUAUUAGGAAGAACACCGGUGGCGAAGGCGGCCCACUGGCUCGGUACUGACGCUGAGGUGCGAAAGCGUGGGGAGCAAACAGG
rnacentral:rRNA from 1 species